AGGACGUAGGAAGGAUGAAUUAUGAUGAGAUUUGUAAUGAAUUUAACUUACCCAGUUGUAAACUGCAUGAAUUUCAUCAUACCAAUACAUUUUUUUCAGUUAUAAGGAUCAUGAAUACUUCCAAACACGAAAAGAAUGAACAGAAAUAAUAACCAUGUGUCUGUCAGUAAGCUAUCAAUGUUCCCAAGUCCAGUGGAUCAGUAAGGAAGCAACUAUGCAUGACACUGAAAGUUGAGGAGUAGAGGAGUCCAAUGCCGGUUUCCUCCCAUUCUUUUUCAGAGCUGCAACAGUGAGACACUUUUCAGUCCUCAGAUGUUCAAGACUUGUAGCUUCUUUUUUUUUUAAGAGAGAGAGAGAGAGAAUUUUAAUAUUUAUUUUUUAGUUUUCAGUGGACACAACAUCUUUGUUUGUAUGUGGUGCUGAGGAUCGAACCUGGGCUGCACGCAUGCCAGGCAAGCGCACUACUGCUUGAGCCACAUCCCCAGCCCAAGACUUGUAGCUUCUUGAUAGUGCACUGAAGCCAUCCAGCUCCUGGGGACUGACUUUAGAGAAACCUGUGGAACUGCUGGAUUCUAUCCCACUUGGACUCUUCCCUUUGAACAGCUAGUGAUUGUCAAGCAAAGAGGUGGUUGGUUUCUGGGUGGCUGCCGCAUGCACGCAGUGAAAUCAAGAAAAGGAACAUGGCGAUGGCUCAACAUGUGACCAUCAAUCAGUAUACCACAUUAGCAGACUGAAGUAGAGGGGGAAUAUCAUCAUCUCUGCCAAAGCAGAAGAAGCAUUUGAAAAGAUUCAGCACCAUCUUAUGAAGGGAAAAACUUUACAGUUAAUAAAGUUGGACUAGAAGGAAACUACCUCAAUAAAGAUAUGACAUGAAAAGCCACAGAUAACACCAUAA